AUAAAUUGCUGAAUUAGAGAUCGGCGCCUAUUAUUUCAUAAUUAUUUUGGAGUUUAACGGUGUCUCUAAAAAUGAAAGAAAAAACAAAAAUCUUAACUGAUUUCGGACGUAAUAUU
rfam:Secondary endosymbiont of Heteropsylla cubana chromosome, complete genome.